UAUCAAGGAUAUCCGGUGCCGAAGCAAACGCAUUAAGUAUACCACCUGGGGAGUACGUUCGCAAGAAUGAAACUCAAAGGAAUUGACGGGGACCCGCACAAACGGUGGAGCAUGUGGUUUAAUUCGAAGCAACGCGAAGAACCUUACCAGGCCUUGACAUCCUGAUGACGCGGGCGUAACGGUCCGUUCCCCUCGGGGCAUCAGAGACAGGUGGUGCAUGGUUGUCGUCAGCUCGUGUCGUGAGAUGUUGGGUUAAGUCCCGCAACGAGCGCAACCCUUAUUCCCAGUAGCCAGCAUUUUGGAUGGGCACUCUGGGGAGACUGCCGGGGAAGACCCGGAGGAAGGCGGGGAUGACGUCAAAUCAUCAUGCCCCUUAUGGCCUGGGCUACACACGUGCUACAAUGGCGCAUACAAAGGGAGGCGAAGGAGCGAUCUGAAGCAAAUCCCAGAAAAGGCGCCCCAGUUCGGAUUGCAGCCUGCAACUCGGCUGCAUGAAGCUGGAAUCGCUAGUAAUCGCGGAUCAGAAUGCCGCGGUGAAUACGUUCCCGGGUCUU
rnacentral:rRNA from 1 species